rfam:Nelumbo nucifera unplaced genomic scaffold scaffold00223, whole genome shotgun sequence
AACUAGGCGCCAUUAGGCGCUACCUCAAUGAAACAGCAAAUAAACG